UACGUAGGUGGCAAGCGUUGUCCGGAUUUAUUGGGUUUAAAGGGUGCGUAGGCGGCCUUUUAAGUCAGUGCUGAAAUACUCUAGCUUAACUAGAGGGGUGGCAUUGAUACUGAAAGGCUUGAGUGAAGUCGAAGUAGGCGGAAUUGACGGUGUAGCGGUGAAAUGCUUAGAUAUCGUCAAGAACACCAAUGGCGAAGGCAGCUUGCUGGGCUUCUUCUGACACUGAGGUACGAAAGCGUGGGGAGCGAACAGG
rnacentral:rRNA from 1 species